rnacentral:lncRNA from 1 species
CGCCCCCCUGCUCUUCUCCCCGUACUGAGGGGCACGGGCACGGGGGGGACAGGGACGGGGACAGGGACACCCCCGGGAGUGACGGUGACACCCCCAGGACAGACAGGGACAGGGACAGGGACACCCCCGGGAGUGACGGUGACACCCCCGGGACUGACAGUGACACCCCCAGGAGGGACAGGGAUGGGGACAAUCCUGGGGGUGACAGGGACAGGGACACCCCCAGGAGUGACGGUGACACCCCCGGGAGUGACAGUGACACCCCUGGGACUGACAGUGACACCCCCGGGAGUGACGGUGACACCCCCAGAAGAGACAGGGACAGGCCUGACAGGGUGACCUCACAGGGUGACACCCCUGCGGGUGACAGGGACGGGGACACCCCCAGGAAUGGCAGUGACACCCCCAAGGGUGACGGGGACACCCCUGGGAGAAACGGUGACAAUCCUGGGGGUGACGGUGACACCCCUGCGGGUGACAGGGACAAUCCUGGGGGUGACAGGGACAGAGACAGGGAUAGUGACACCCCCGAGGGUGAUGGUGACAAUCCCAGAGGUGACAGUGACACCCCUGGGGGUGACGGUGACACCCCCAGAAGUGACGGUGACAAUCCUGGGGGUGACAGUGACAAUCCCGGGGGUGACAGUGACAAUCCUGGGGACAACGAACCCCCCCGGAACAGCCCCUGGGAAAAUCCCGGGACAAUUCCUUGGGAAAACCCUGGAACGGCCCCUCCCCCCGCCCCGGGAAUUCCCCUGGGAACAACUGGACAACAGUCGGCGCCUGGCAACCGUUGCCUGGCAACCGGGAAACGCCUGGCAACGGCUGCCUGGCAACCUUUAAUGAGCGACUGCGCGGUGACGGGCACGGGGUGACGGUCAGUGACGGUCAGUGACGGUCACUCAGUGAUGGUCACUCGGUGACGGUCACUCAGUGACAGCGAUGGUCACUCGGUCACUCGGUGACAGUUGGUGAUGGUCAGUGAUGGUCACUUGCUGAUGGUCACUUGGUGACGGUCACUCGGUCACUCGGUGAUGGUCAGUGAUGGUCAGCAAUGGUCACUUGGUCACUGAUGGUCACUCGGUCACUGUCACUCGGUCACUCGCUGGUGGUCAC